rnacentral:lncRNA from 1 species
AAAACAUUUUCCUCUUCUCUCUCUAAGUUAAACUUAGAGAGAGAAGCUCUCCCUUCUCUCUAAAAGUCCCGCCGGCGGACAUGAGUGGUGGUGGUGGUUCCGGCGCGGCGGCCGGCCGGUUUCCGGCGGCGGCGCCACCGCGCCGGAAAAAUCAAACUUAAUUUUUUUUCAAAAUUUUACAUCAAAAGUUCCGUCACCACCUCCUCUACUCAAAUCCGGUGCUAGUUUUAAAAAGGGGUGAGAGAUUCGUCGUAGAUCUACACUUGAACUUUCGGAAUUUUUUCACUCUUUUUGUAAAAAAGCUUACGGAUCUAGAUAUCCUUUUCGCUCUAGAGUCCGAAUCCGGCCUCAAAAUUUCAAAAAUCCGAACGUACAAGCUUAGAUCUACAAAUCUUGAUUCGUAACAAACUUUUCACAUGUGUAUAUGCGCGAAAACGAGGGAAAAAAGUGUUACCGUCGUCGUGAAACGGAGGAAAAAUCCGAGCCUCCUCUUCUCUCCGCCGCGCGCGCGCGUUAUGCUCCGGUGGUGCCGCUUUUGCUCGAAAAUCCGGUACGGAUUUGGUGUUGGUGUGAUGAUUCGUGGUGGUUUUGAAUGAUUCCGGUUCGGAUUUGUUGAUUUUGUGAUGAUUUGAGUUGGUUUUGAGUGAAUCCGGUUCGGAUUUGUUGAUUUUGUGAAGAUUUGUUCUUGGUGUUCUUGGAGAAUUUUUGGUGAUUUUCUGUUUUGGAUCUAACUGAUUUUGGAGAGAGAAAGAAAUUUCUGUUUUUGUGAUGUGACUGAUUCUUUUUUUUUUUAUUUGGAUCUGACACAUCUAUUUAUAGCAUGCCAUGUGUAUUUGUGGGCCAAUGAGAAAAUGCCAUCUGGACUGGGACUGAAGUGUGCGAAAAUUCUGGACAAAAAUGCCCCUGGGACCUUUUCUGCAAAAAAAAUAAUAAAAAAAAGACUGGACAGCAAUUAAAAAAUGGACAAAAAAUAAAAAUUAAAAAGUUUUGGACUAAAUUGUGAUUUAAAAAUAAAAUUGAACUAAAAAAAGUAAUUUUGACAAACGUAAAGUGAAACUAAAAUUAAAAUCAACAAAAGGACUAAAACGAACCAAUUACAAAAAUGAGGUAUUUUAAAAUACCUCUCUGCCGAAAUUUUGACAGGAAAAGACCAAAAUGCCCCUAGGGACUAAACUGACUCAGAUGCAAUUUUUUUGAAAUGAUUUUUAAACAAAGACUCAACAAUAA